rnacentral:rRNA from 1 species
CGGUAAUACGUAGGGCGCAAGCGUUAUCCGGAAUUAUUGGGCGUAAAGAGCUCGUAGGCGGUUUGUCGCGUCUGCUGUGAAAUCCCGAGGCUCAACCUCGGGCCUGCAGUGGGUACGGGCAGACUAGAGUGCGGUAGGGGAGAUUGGAAUUCCUGGUGUAGCGGUGGAAUGCGCAGAUAUCAGGAGGAACACCGAUGGCGAAGGCAGAUCUCUGGGCCGUAACUGACGCUGAGGAGCGAAAGGGUGGGGAGCAAACAGGCUUAGAUACCCUGGUAGUCCACCCCGUAAACGUUGGGAACUAGUUGUGGGGACCAUUCCACGGUUUCCGUGACGCAGCUAACGCAUUAAGUUCCCCGCCUGGGGAGUACGGCCGCAAGGCUAAAACUCAAAGGAAUUGACGGGGACCCGCACAAGCGGCGGAGCAUGCGGAUUAAUUCGAUGCAACGCGAAGAACCUUACCAAGGCUUGACAUAUACGAGAACGGGCCAGAAAUGGUCAACUCUUUGGACACUCGUAAACAGGUGGUGCAUGGUUGUCGUCAGCUCGUGUCGUGAGAUGUUGGGUUAAGUCCCGCAACGAGCGCAACCCUCGUUCUAUGUUGCCAGCACGUAAUGGUGGGAACUCAUGGGAUACUGCCGGGGUCAACUCGGAGGAAGGUGGGGAUGACGUCAAAUCAUCAUGCCCCUUAUGUCUUGGGCUUCACGCAUGCUACAAUGGCCGGUACAAAGGGCUGCAAUACCGUGAGGUGGAGCGAAUCCCAAAAAGCCGGUCCCAGUUCGGAUUGAGGUCUGCAACUCGACCUCAUGAAGUCGGAGUCGCUAGUAAUCGCAGAUCAGCAACGCUGCGGUGAAUACGUUCCCGGGUCUUGUACACACCGCCCGUCAAGUCAUGAAAGUCGGUAACACCUGAAGCCGGUGGCCCAACCCUUGUGGAGGGAGCCGUCGAAGGUGGGAUCGGUAAUUAGGACUAAGUCGUAACAAGGUAGCCGUACCGGAAGGUGCGGCUGGAUCACCUCCUUU